rnacentral:rRNA from 1 species
CCCGACUGCUAUUUGGGUGAGAAUAAGCCAUGCGAGUUGAAUGGGAUACCUAAAUUUCCCAUAGCAAACUGCUCAGUAACACAUGAUCAACUUACCCUAUAGAGAAAAAUAACCUCGGGAAACUGAGGAUAAUAUUUCAUAAUUGAAUUGGCUUGGAAAAGUUUUUCAAUGAAAAGGAUAAAAAAAAUGGUUUUUAUCUGCUAUAGGAUAGGAUCGUGUUCGAUUAUGGUUGUUGGUGAGAUAAUGGCUCACCAAGCCGAUAAUCGAUAGGGGCCGUGAGAGCGGGAGCCCCGAGAUGGGUACUUAGACAACGACCCAGGCCUUACGAGGCGCAGCAGGCGCGGAACCUCCGCAAUACACGAAAGUGUGACGGGGUUACCCAAAGUGUUCAAUAGAACUGUGGUAGGUGAGUAAUGUUCCCUACUAGAAAGGAGAGGGCAAGGCUGGUGCCAGCCGCCGCGGUAAAACCAGCUCUUCAAGUGGUCGGGAUAAUUAUUGGGCUUAAAGUGUCCGUAGCCGGUUUAGUAAGUUCCUGGUAAAAUCGGGUAGCUUAACUAUCUGUAUGCUAGGAAUACUGCUAUACUAGAGGGCGGGAGAGGUCUGAGGUACUACAGGGGUAGGGGUGAAAUCUUAUAAUCCUUGUAGGACCACCAGUGGCGAAGGCGUCAGACUGGAACGCGCCUGACGGUGAGGGACGAAAGCCAGGGGAGCGAACCGGAUUAGAUACCCGGGUGGUCCUGGCCGUAAACGAUGCAUACUAGGUGAUGGUACGGCCAUGAGCCGUAUCAGUGCCGUAGGGAAACCGUUAAGUGUGCCGCCUGGGAAGUACGGUCGCAAGGCUAAAACUUAA